UACGAAGGGUGCAAACGUUGCUCGGAAUUAUUGGGCGUAAAGCGCACGUAGGCGGCUUUUCAAGUCGGAUGUGAAAUCCCUCGGCUUAACCAAGGAAGUGCAUCCGAAACUGGAAGGCUUGAGUACUUAAGAGGAUCGCGGAAUUCCCGGUGUAGAGGUGAAAUUCGUAGAUAUCGGGAUGAACACCAGUGGCGAAGGCGGCGAUCUGGGAAGAUACUGACGCUGAGGUGCGAAAGCGUGGGGAGCAAACAGG
rnacentral:rRNA from 1 species